rnacentral:rRNA from 1 species
GGAUCCUGCCAGUAGUCAUAUGCUCGUCUUCAAGAUUAAGCCAUGCAUGUCUAAGUGUAAA